UACGUAGGGGGCUAGCGUUGUCCGGAAUCAUUGGGCGUAAAGAGCGCGCAGGCGGCUGGUCAAGUCCGAUGUGAAAUCUCCCGGCUCAACUGGGAAACUGCAUCGGAAACUGAUCGGCUUGAAGGUGGGAGAGGGUAGUGGAAUUCCCGGUGUAGUGGUGAAAUGCGUAGAUAUCGGGAGGAACACCAGUGGCGAAGGCGACUACCUGGCCCAUUCUUGACGCUGAGGCGCGAAAGCUAGGGGAGC
rnacentral:rRNA from 1 species